AGUAUCUUCGGAUGCAGCGGGAAAAGAUGGGCCUUUCUUGAAAGCUAUUGUUAUCAGAUGAGUCCGCGGUCCAUUAGCUAGUUGGUGGGGUAAUGGCCUACCAAGGCGACGAUGGAUAGCUGGUUUGAGAGAAUGAUCAGCCACACUGGAACUGAGACACGGUCCAGACUCCUACGGGAGGCAGCAGUGGGGAAUUUUGCGCAAUGGGCGAAAGCCUGACGCAGCAACGCCGCGUGAGUGAUGAAGGUUUUCGGANCGUAAAGCUCUGUCAAGAGGGAAGAAACCUCUGUUGGUUAAUACCCAACAGACUUGACGGUACCUCUAGAGGAAGCACCGGCUAACUCC
rnacentral:rRNA from 1 species